rnacentral:rRNA from 1 species
UACGUAGGGAGCAAGCGUUGUCCGGAAUCAUUGGGCGUAAAGCGCGCGUAGGUGGCCCGGUAAGUCCGCUCUGAAAGUCACAGGCUCAACCUGUGAAAGCGGGUGGAUACUGCCGGGCUAGAGUCCGGAAGAGGCGAGUGGAAUCCUGGUGUAGCGGUGGAAUGCGCAGAUAUCGGAAGAACAUCAGUGGCGAAAGCGGCUUCCUGGACCAGUACGACGUCAGGCACGAAAGCGUGGGGAGCAAACAG